UUGUCAAGCAAAAGUGACUCCUAUUAUAAG
rnacentral:piRNA from 1 species